rnacentral:lncRNA from 1 species
AUGACUUUCUGUUUUCCUUUGAUUCUGUCAUGAAUAAGUGAAAUUAGGGGUUGAUUUUACUUGCUGGAAAUGUUGCUUUGAUUGUAUGGAUAUGUCAUAUGAAUGGUGAAAUGAUGAUUGGCAGGUUUAAAGCACAUAGAUACAACAUGGGAGCCAAAAACAUAAAACUGGCAGAAUAGGUUCCAACAGGACAGUCUAUGUUAGAAGCCUCAUAACUUAUUGUGUAUUCAUUAAAAUUAAGCCUAGCAUAUACCAAAUGAAAGCUAAGACAAAAAGCUAAAACUUUCAUGAAGUAACCAAAGUCUGAAUCUGUAGCUAAUUAUGUGAAAAUUGCUAGUGAACCUAAGCUGGUCACAGGGAAUUGUGCAUCCGGAGCAGUAUGGAUAUCCUAGACCAUAACUAAUGAUUUACUCAAUGAAAUGAGUUAAGACCAGUGCCAAAUGAACCCUGAAAAGUAUACCUAAAACUUUGUACAAGAAAGUUAAGCUUGAAUCUGUAUGAAAAUGUAUGCAUAUGAUAGGUUUUGUUAGAUUAAAAACAGAUCCCAAAACUGUACUGGUUAGGACCUGAUUGAGCAGGUUGCAAAGAAAAAUUCAUAACUUAAGUUAGGAAGGUCAGAAUUAGAUGUAAUAUAUCUUGUUAGAAAGCUAAGACAUAAAUACACAACGUUCAUGAAGAAAAGUGAGUCUAAUUGUGUCCAUAAGAUACUUAAAAAUGUGAUACAAUCUCAGGCAGAAACAAAGCUAAAUGUAAAUAUUGACCUAAAAGGGAUUGACAUGCUAGCUUUGUGGCCAAAUUAUGCACAUGCUAGCUUGACAUGCCUGCUUUAUACACGUGCUAGCUUAAUAGACUAAAACUUUACACACAUGUUCUUGAUGAAAUAGUAAUAUGUUUGUGGCUGAAUAAUAUGCUCAUAAGUGAAUAUGGUCUAUGACACACAUAUGAAUGCUCUUAAGGACUCUUUUUCUCGAUAUGCUUGCUUAUGAAUAUCUAGUUCGAAAUCUUUGCUUGUUUCAACAUGUUAAGUAUCUAAAUGAAUAAUUUUGAUACCAAUAAAUAUUUAACAUGUACAUAUGCAUUCUUGGCCCUAGUAAACCUCAGUAGGAGUCAUAAAUAGUAUAAGGGUAUGGCAUGCCAUAUACAGUGUAGCAGUACUGCGCCCUAAUGGGCUACAUGAUAUGAUAUUUUCGACACAUUACGUGUCAUACAGUUUUUCGGCUUUUUAGCCAUACAGGCACAGCAUUCGGCCCCCAGGCCAUACAGUUUGGCACUUUGUGCUAUACAGAUACAGAUUUCCCUUAUCUAGCUAGUUGAUCCUACGAAGAGUUUAUAGGGG